CCCUAUGAAUAGUUUAAAUGGCCGCAGUACUUUGACUGUGCAAAGGUAGCAUAAUCAUUUGUCUUUUAAUUGAAGGCUGGGAUGAAAGAGGCGACGAAAUCCAAACUUUUAGGUUUUAACGUGAAAUUAACAUAAAGGUCAAAAGGCCUUUAUAUAUCAAAGGGACGAUAAGACCCUAUAAAACUUUACUAUAAAAUUAAAUCUCUUUAGGCAAGAUUUACGUUUAUAGUUUAACUGGGGCGGUUUAUAUAUAAACAAUUGAAGUAGAAAAUAUUUAUAUAGAUUUGUAGAGCUCUAAAGGAAAUGAAUAAGUUACUUUAGGGAUAACAGCAUAAUUCUCCUAGAGAGUCCUUAUUGGCAGGAGAGCUUAUGACCUCGAUGUUGAAUUGGGGUGUCUAAUGUAAGUAGAAAUAUAUUAAGAUAGUCUGUUCGACUAUUAAAUUCCC
rnacentral:rRNA from 1 species